rnacentral:rRNA from 1 species
AACGAACGCUGGCGGCAUGCCUAACACAUGCAAGUCGAACGAGACCUUCGGGUCUAGUGGCGCACGGGUGCGUAACGCGUGGGAAUCUGCCCUUGGGUUCGGAAUAACAGUUAGAAAUGACUGCUAAUACCGGAUGAUGACUUCGGUCCAAAGAUUUAUCGCCCAGGGAUGAGCACGCGUAGGAUUAGCUUGUUGGUGAGGUAAAAGCGCACCAAGGCGACGAUCCUUAGCUGGUCUGAGAAGGUGAACAGCCAUACUGGGACUGAGACUCGGCCCAUACGCCUCCGGGAGGCAGCAGGGGGGGAUGUUGCACAAUGAGCGAGAACCUCAUCCAGCGAUGCCGCCCGAGCGAUCAAGGCCUUAGGCUUGUAAAGCUCUUUUACCCGGGAUCAUAAUGACGGUACCGGGAGAAUAAGCCCCGGCUAACUCCGUGCCAGCCGCCGCCGUAACAC